GGGGUCUUGGCACAGUGGUAGCGCGCAUGCUUCGCAAUCUAUAUAUACCUGCAUGAGGUCGUGAGUUCAAUCCUCACAGUCUCCA